UCCACAGGGGCUGGGCUCUCAA
rnacentral:misc_RNA from 1 species